UACGAAGGGGGCUAGCGUUGCUCGGAAUCACUGGGCGUAAAGCGCACGUAGGCGGAUCUUUAAGUCAGGGGUGAAAUCCUGGAGCUCAACUCCAGAACUGCCUUUGAUACUGGGGAUCUCGAGUCCAGGAGAGGUGAGUGGAACUCCGAGUGUAGAGGUGAAAUUCGUAGAUAUUCGGAAGAACACCAGUGGCGAAGGCGGCUCACUGGCCCGGUACUGACGCUGAGGUGCGAAAGCGUGGGGAGCAAACAGGG
rnacentral:rRNA from 1 species